CAAACCACCUUAACGGAGCGUCACGGACAGCUGCGUCGGAGGCGAGCGCGCGCGCGCUAUCAGGGUCGUGCGCAGAGCGCGGUGGGCGGGGCGGAGAAGUCGCGUGCCGUGCGCAGAGCGCGUGUGGCGCAGCGCAGAGAGGAGGAACAUAAACAGCUACAGUCACGUCGCCGAGGUGAGUUCCCUUAAAGGACGAAAACACGACAUUUAGCUCGAUGCUUACGACGCGGUGCCGUCGCCGCGGUCUCGGAGAGCGUCCCCGCCGUGCCGAGGCGCCGGAGCUGCGUUUGUAAGGCGAGCCGUUGAGGGCGAGCGCGUCCAGAAAGUCAGAGGCUAUGAGCAGUAACGU